rnacentral:pre_miRNA from 1 species
AGGAGGAACAGCCCCAGUGGCAGGGCCAGCUUGGCAGCCCUGGAGUCAGCGCCCGCAGUAGCUCCAGAGCUCUCCGUCUGCAGGGCCUGGAGGCUCCGGGGCGGG